AUUGAACGCUGGCGGCAUGCCUUACACAUGCAAGUCGAACGGCAGCACAGGGAGCUUGCUCCUGGGUGGCGAGUGGCGAACGGGUGAGUAAUGUAUCGGAACGUGCCCAGUAGUGGGGGAUAACUACUCGAAAGAGUGGCUAAUACCGCAUGAGAUCUCUGGAUGAAAGUGGGGGACCGCAAGGCCUCACGCUACUGGAGCGGCCGAUAUCAGAUUAGGUUGUUGGUGGGGUAAAGGCCUACCAAGCCUGCGAUCUGUAGCUGGUCUGAGAGGACGACCAGCCACACUGGACUGAGACACGG
rnacentral:rRNA from 1 species